CGUAAGGCUCCGCCAUCCUAUUGGUCACAACUGGGGAGGAGAUAUUGUGUUGCGAAGCAAUAGUAGUUCUGCCAAACGUGCAGUCCUUGUAUGUUCAGGUAUGAACCUUACGCAUCGAUCCAUCAGAUCUGUGUGUCAUUUCAUUAACAUCAACUGCCUUAGAAACUUUUCCUCCUCAAAGGGAAUUAUGACAUCAUCAAGGCAUACAAAUUCCAAAAGGAUUGAAGGACUGGACAAAAAUGUAUGGGUGGCCUUCACCUCGGUGGCAGCUGACCCCACCAUAGUGAACCUGGGCCAGGGAUUUCCUGACAUACCACCUCCAGCCUAUGUUAAGGAGGGCCUAGCGAAUGCUGCCGCAGUGGACAAGCUCAACCAGUACACAAGAGGCUUUGGGCACCCGGCUCUGGUUAAGGCUCUAUCUCAGGUGUAUGGGAAAGUGUAUGGACAGCAGAUCGAUCCUUUCAAGGAGAUCCUAGUCACAGUGGGGGGCUACGGGUCCUUGUUUAGCGCCAUGCAGGGUCUGGUGGAGGUGGGAGAUGAGGUGAUAAUAAUUGAACCAUUCUUCGACUGCUAUGUACCCAUGGUUCGAAUGGCAGGGGCCAAGCCAAUCUUGAUACCAUUGCGUGUCAAGUGUAAUAAGAAGACAAAUAUUGUAUCCAGUGCUGACUGGGUUCUGGACCCAGCAGAGCUUGCCAGUAAAUUCACCUCUAAGACUAAGGCCAUCAUUAUCAACACUCCCAACAAUCCUAUAGGGAAGAUAUUUACCAGAGAUGAGCUGCAGAUGAUUGCUGACCUAUGCAUCAAACACGACACUCUGUGCAUCAGUGAUGAGGUGUACGAAUGGCUCAUUUACAAGGGGCACCAACACAUUAAAAUAGCCACUCUCCCUGGCAUGUGGGACAGAACGAUCACAAUCAGCAGUGCAGGGAAGACCUUUAGUGUUACUGGAUGGAAGCUUGGCUGGUCUAUAGGACCGGAACACUUGAUAAAGCACCUCCAGACUGUAAUGCAGAACACCCUGUACACCUGUCCAACACCAUUACAGGAAGCUGUCGCCCAGGGCUUGCUGAGGGACUAUGAGCUAAUGGGUCAGCCUGACUGUUACUUCUCUUCUCUGGCUGUUGAGCUGGAGGGGAAAAGGGACCGCAUGGCUGCUAUCCUACAAGAUGUUGGCAUGUCUCCCAUCAUACCCGAGGGAGGAUACUUCAUGUGUGUGGAUGUCACUUCUCUUAAUCAGGACUUGUCUCAUAUGGGAGAUGAUGAGCCAUACGACUACAAGUUUGUCAAGUGGAUGAUUAAGGAGAAGAAACUGGCAGCUAUUCCGGUCACAGCGUUCUGUGGUGAUGCUUCAAAGAAGCAGUUUGAGAAAUACAUCCGUCUAUGCUUUAUCAAGGCUGGUUAUCUGUAAAGGCAAUUUGUGAAAAUUGCUAAUGUAAAAACUGCUUCCAAAAAUAAAUUUAAUUGAUUGAUUUGAAGGCAGUUUGUUAUGGUUGAAGAACUUCAGAAAGACAGCACUCUGGAUGCAGCAGAGGCCAUCCUGAAAAACUGGAACAGUUAAAAGGCAAUCUUUAUAUGGAGUGGUUUUGAAUCUUUGGACUUUUCUCUCUGUACAAUGACAAUGUGAUCACUUCUGGGAACACUUCAAUAACACUGGAGAAAUUGCCUUGUAGUACAGAUAUGUUGUAACAGCUAUUUGUAUUAUUUUAGACCUUGUAUGCAAUUACUUAAGAAAUAUAAGAAUACAUUUUCAUGGACAGUGAAAGUGGAGGAAAAAUGUAGAGUUUUAACAGUAGGCUGGGUCAAAACAAUUUUGCAGCAGUAGCCUACUUGUGCACCUGAUGCAGUGACUUAGAUCGUAGGCCACUUACUUUUCGAAGUAACUCAUCAGAUAUAUUGAUAUUGAUGACAGUAUGAUGUUACGCUGACACCAUAUCCAGUGGUUAAUUUGUAAAUCAGGAGGUCCUGGAACACAUUGGUGUGUUAUCCGUUGGGCAUACACGUAGUGGAACAUACACAGAUCAGCCAUAACAUUAUGACCACCUGCCUAAUAUUGUGUGGGUCCCCCUUUUGCCUGCCAAAACAGCAC